AACGAACGCUGGCGGCAUGCCUAACACAUGCAAGUCGAACGAAACCUUCGGGUCUAGUGGCGCACGGGUGCGUAACGCGUGGGAACCUGCCCUUAGGUUCGGAAUAACUCCCCGAAAGGGGUGCUAAUACCGGAUAAUGUCUUCGGACCAAAGAUUUAUCGCCUUUGGAUGGGCCCGCGUUGGAUUAGCUAGUUGGUAGGGUAAAAGCCUACCAAGGCGACGAUACAUAGCUGGUCUGAGAGGAUGAUCAGCCACACUGGGACUGAGACACGGCCCAGACUCCUACGGGAGGCAGCAGUGGGGAAUAUUGGACAAUGGGCGAAAGCCUGAUCCAGCAAUGCCGCGUGAGUGAUGAAGGCCUUAGGGUUGUAAAGCUCUUUUACCCGGGAUGAUAAUGACAGUACCGGGAGAAUAAGCUCCGGCUAACUCCGUG
rnacentral:rRNA from 1 species